UUGAAGAAAAUCUCUUCCUUAAACCGCCACCACAACCCAAUCCACCUGAUAGCCCGCAUGGUCAGAAAAAUUCCGUAGAUUUAAAGAGCAGGCACGGCAGUUCUAUAGAACCCUAAGAUUUUGUUCUUAAAUCUCUCAGCCUUACCUCACAGACGUCCAGUUGCUUUUCCUCCUGCUUUGCUGUCUGUCUGCUUUAAAAAGAAAGCUCCUCCUAGAAACGCACGAUACAUUAGCUACGGAAACCUCGUGGGAGCGGAGCCUUGGGAGACUCACUGGAUAAAGUGUUUGGUAUUGGGAAGGUCUCUACAGCGAGCCCGAGGAGUUCGACUUCUCAGACAGCCAAGCCUCCAAACUGCUGAGCUAAGACGCGAUAAACAGGAAACUUAUGUUCCGCUUUCUUUUUAACAGUUCAGCCGCUCUGGGAGUGCAAACCUGAAAAGGCGGGAAAACAACGGCUUCUGCAAUUGUGGAGCCACCACACUUUUCGCUUAUUAUCUGAUCUACACUCAGAACGUGAGCGCUGGGCGCGAAGGAAGUACUGCUAAGCUUAGUUAGGACGCGGCUUGCGAGCGUGGUCUGGUCUCUCCUUCAGGUAGAAGGUUCUGGUUCAGAAAGCAAAGCAGUGGCUUAGUGAUGCUCUGCUACAGAAAAAGGCAAGAGCCUUCUGCAACGAAAAUCGGGCUAGCAAUGAGUCCACACUUUGUUGCAAUUUUAGUGGGAUAGCAGAGACAAGACGGAGAUCCUUUACAGUUUCUUCAUGCAGCUGAGUAAAGCAAAACCGGGCGUCUCCUCAAUGCAAGCAAAGAAGAGGCACGCCCAAGACAGUUUGACAACUACUUUUAUUGUAAGGGGCUGCAAAAAGCUAUAUUAAUUCUUAGCAGAACUAAUGCCAUCUUGCCUCUGUGAAAUAUUGCUUAGAGCUGCCAGGGAAUAAAAGAUAGAGAGCUGAAUUGGGAAAGGGGACUUUUUGUGUGCUGAGGUUUCAGGGCUAAAACCCCAAAUAGAAGGGGAUUUUUAUCACAGGAGAUAUUUUAAUACUGAAACCACAAACAGGUGGUUGGCCAAACAGAUGCUUGCUUGCAAACUGCUUAAACUUGGAAACCGCAAGGAGGGAAACAGAGUUGGGGGACUUCCAAAAGGGGGUACGUCAUGAAAUGGUAAUGUCUGCUUGAAACAGCUGAUAGCCUUGCUUUGCAAGAAGGGGAACUGGGUGGGCUUACUAUUUGUCAAAAGGUAUAAAAAUGUUUGUAACUGCUUGUGAAGUGUGUCAUCUCUCUCCUGGCAUUGAGGUGGACACCCGGCCGCUUUGUUCAGCUGAAUAAAAAGACUGAAAAUCUC